GCAAGUCGAAACGCUUUGUCUUUAACUGAUAUGAAGAGCUUGCUCUGAUUUGAUUUUAUCUGACAAAGAGUGGCGAACGGGUGAGUAACACGUGGGUAACCUACCUCUUAGCAGGGGAUAACAUUUGGAAACAAGUGCUAAUACCGUAUAAUACCAACAACCGCAUGGUUGUUGGUUGAAAGGUGGUUCUGCUAUCACUAAGAGAUGGACCCGCGGUGCAUUAGCUAGUUGGUAAGGUAACGGCUUACCAAGGCAAUGAUGCAUAGCCGAGUUGAGAGACUGAUCGGCCACAAUGGGACUGAGACACGGCCCAUACUCCUACGGGAGGCAGCAGUAGGGAAUCUUCCACAAUGGGCGCAAGCCUGAUGGAGCAACGCCGCGUGUGUGAUGAAGGGUUUCGGCUCGUAAAACACUGUUAUAAGAGAAGAACGGCACUGAGAGUAACUGUUCAGUGUGUGACGGUAUCUUACCAGAAAGGAACGGCUAAAUAC
rnacentral:rRNA from 1 species